rnacentral:lncRNA from 1 species
UUGCAGGUAGAAGAUCAUCUGAAAUUUGCCGGAUUGAAUUCAAGUAGGAAGAUGGGGCUGGUUCACUGUGCCCAGAGGCUCAGCAGGCAGCGUGACAACUGUCCCCUGUGCUAAGCAACUUCACAUAGGAAACGGUAUUUUCCAAGAAGAAAGGGAAUCAAGCUUGACUUGCAGAACCAAUAAAAGCCCCUUGGGAAACCUGGCCUCACACCUUGUCUACACAGUUCCUUUACAGGGUUCGUAACCUGUGUUUUUGUCUGCAUUUUAGACUAACCCUGCUUAUUCCUGUGAACCAACCAGUGAUCUCCAGCUGCAGCUCAGAAGAAACAGAAGGGCUGGGCCAUCAAACUGCAAAUGGUCAUGCAACUGGAGCCUCAGACAAUGGCUCCCUUUUGUCAGGGACCCUUAGAGAGGCCUCUGAGGGAGAACUGACUGCCAUUUUCCCAAAAUGGCACCUCCUGUCAGCAUGAAGCAGUUAAGAUCGGUCACCGUUCUUAUCCUAAUGACAGUUAGAGGAAUAUGGGCCAGGUGCGGUGGCUCACACCUUCAAUCCCGGCACUUUGGGAGGCUGAGACGGGUGGAUCACCUGACAUCAGGAGUUCAAGACCAGCCUAGCCAACAUGAU